rnacentral:rRNA from 1 species
UACGGAGGGUGCAAGCGUUGUUCGGAUUUACUGGGCGUAAAGGGCGCGUAGGCGGUUUUAUAAGCCAGAUGUGAAAGCCCACGGCUCAACCGUGGAAGUGCAUCUGGAACUGUAAGACUUGAGUAUGGGAGAGGAAAGUGGAAUUCCCGGUGUAGAGGUGAAAUUCGUAGAUAUCGGGAGGAAUACCGGUGGCGAAGGCGACUUUCUGGACCAAUACUGACGCUGAGGCGCGAAAGCGUGGGUAGCAAACAGG